rnacentral:rRNA from 1 species
AGUGAACGCUGGCGGUAGGCCUAACACAUGCAAGUCGAACGGCAGCACCGUAAGAGCUUGCUCUUACGGGUGGCGAGUGGCGGACGGGUGAGGAAUACAUCGGAAUCUACUUUUUCGUGGGGGAUAACGUAGGGAAACUUACGCUAAUACCGCAUACGACCUACGGGUGAAAGCAGGGGAUCUUCGGACCUUGCGCGAUUGAAUGAGCCGAUGUCGGAUUAGCUAGUUGGCGGGGUAAAGGCCCACCAAGGCGACGAUCCGUAGCUGGUCUGAGAGGAUGAUCGGCCACACUGGAACUGAGACACGGUCCAGAGUCCUACGGGAGGCAGCAGUGGGGAAUAUUGGACAAUGGGGGCAAGCCUGGUCCAGUCAUACCGCGUGGGUGAAGGAGGCCUUGGGGUUGUAAAGCCCUUUUGUUGGGAAAGAAAAGCAGCAGGUUAAUACCCCGCUGUUCUGACGGUAACCAAAGAAUAAGCACCGGCUAACUUCGUG